rnacentral:lncRNA from 1 species
UGAGAAGACCAUCCACCACACAAAGUGCGGUCCAGGCAGUUACGGCACCUACUCAUGGUGAAGAUACCGCACAGAGCUAUUCCCAGCGGCGUCAGAGCCGGCUGUCGCCCAUUCUCCCUUCCCUUUUCUUGGGAGUUGGCUAUGAGCUAUGAACCACCAACAAGCCUUCCCUGCCAACACCAGCUCUUCAGUCAGCAGAGGUCUUCACCUGCUAGUUCCUGUGCACCUCUGCCCAGUGACUAUCACAACACCAGCACAGGGAAGGUGCACUAUUUCGGAAAACUGGGCAGUACUGUGUUUGGGACAAACGCUCUUGGAUCUUUCAGCACAAGUAGCAGAUUAUCAGCACGUUAGUUAACUUGUGAGGCUCCCUCUGGAUGUUCCUCAGAUGCCCAUGGGAUUUGGGUGACAUUAUCGCUCCAAUGUCAGCCUGACAAGUCAAGUCAGUGAUGGGCCUCAGCCUUACUUUCCACCCCAACACAGCAAUAAGGCAGAGAAAGAUGGAUUAUAAACCACUGAUUCUGAACCAGAUAAAUGGGUUGAAAAUACACCGGGCUACUACUCUAUUUGUCCCCAAAGCCAAACUUACCUAACACAUAACACAAGUAGUCCCAUUCAACUGCAUCAAAGGACUUCUUGGCAUCUAAUAAAAUGUAGCUAUGGGCUCCAAUUUUCUCUUUGUAUUCCAGAUGAGUUGAUUUAGUCUAUGCAAAUGACCUGAUACUCCUCUCGCAGGAAUAAAGCUUUCU